GGGGAAUAUUGCACAAUGGGCGCAAGCCUGAUGCAGCGACGCCGCGUGAGGGGUGACGGCCUUCGGGUUGUAAACCUCUUUCAGCAGGGAAGAAGCGCAAGUGACGGUACCUACAGAAGAAGCGCCGGCUAACUACGUGCCAGCAGCCGCGGUAAUACGUAGGGCGCAAGCGUUGUCCGGAAUUAUUGGGCGUAAAGAGCUCGUAGGCGGCUUGUCGCGUCGGUUGUGAAAGCCCGGGGCUUAACUCCGGGUCUGCAGUCGAUACGGGCAGGCUAGAGUUCGGUAGGGGAGAUCGGAAUUCCUGGUGUAGCGGUGAAAUGCGCAGAUAUCAGGAGGAACACCGGUGGCGAAGGCGGAUCUCUGGGCCGAUACUGACGCUGAGGAGCGAAAGCGUGGGGAGCGAAC
rnacentral:rRNA from 1 species